CCAGACUCCUACGGGAGGCAGCAGUGAGGAAUAUUGGUCAAUGGACGAGAGUCUGAACCAGCCAAGUAGCGUGAAGGAUGACUGCCCUAUGGGUUGUAAACUUCUUUUAUAAAGGAAUAAAACGAGGCACGUGUGCCUUUUUGCAUGUACUUUAUGAAUAAGGAUCGGCUAACUCCGUGCCAGCAGCCGCGGUAAUACGGAGGAUCCGAGCGUUAUCCGGAUUUAUUGGGUUUAAAGGGAGCGUAGGUGGAUUGUUAAGUCAGUUGUGAAAGUUUGCGGCUCAACCGUAAAAUUGCAGUUGAAACUGGCAGUCUUGAGUACAGUAGAGGUGGGCGGAAUUCGUGGUGUAGCGGUGAAAUGCUUAGAUAUCACGCAGAACGCCGAUUGCGAAGGCAGCUUACCGGCGCUCAACUGACGCUGAGGCACGAAAGUGCGGGUAUCGAACAGGAUUAGAUACCCCCGUAAA
rnacentral:rRNA from 1 species